rnacentral:tRNA from 1 species
GGGCGAUUAGCUCAGCUGGUUCAGAGCACCUGCCUUACAAGCAGGGGGUCGGCGGUUCGAAUCCGUCAUCGCCCA